AACAUGAUUUUUUUCCUUCCCUUGGCAUUCAGCCCCACUGGAAUGGCUGGCUCCUGCUCUGAUGUGAAGUCCUAGAAUGGGCAAUGAGGGUCACCUCCCAUCCACUGAGGGCUGCUGCUGGAGCACAAAGCCAGACCAGCAGGGACAGGCGCUGCAGAUCCAGGACGACACCGUAAACAGAAGCGCGGUGGGUGCUAAAUGACAGCACCCCGGGGAGAGGCUGUUCUUCCCCGGCCGCCGAGGAUGCUGCUCCGACGGCCCCUCAGGUGGGCUGGAUAAUGCAUGUCCGCAUGUGGCGGCGGGCUGAGUGCACGGGGCGUGUGUGUCUGCAAUGGAUGGCUGCGAUCCUUUCCCUACAAGUCCGCUGGGGCGCAUCAGCUUCGCUCACGCGCUGAGAGCCGGGGGCUGGGCUCGUGCUGGUGCUUGGGGGUUUCUUGUUUGCUAAAAAGAACCAGGAAAUGUGCUCCGGAGAGGGUUAGCGGGCUCGCCGGCUUCUUCCUUUCGGAACGAGGUGCUAAUGAAAGAAUGCAAAUAGCGUUGGUUGAUCAGAACACUUCAUAAAGAAGGGAACAAUCACCAAGCCAAACCAGCACAGAAUCCGCCGCCGUCAGACAGCAAAGGUAGGCACUGGGAUUUUGCAUUCUGCAUGUGUCUGCGUCUGCGUGUGUGGUGGUGGUG
rnacentral:lncRNA from 1 species